GUUGGAUUUUAGCUGCCUUCACGAAAGUCUCGGCAUUCAUCCUUCCUCUCUCUCUGGUGGCAGUGAUGGGGAACAACUUCACAGAGCAUGGCUGUCACCUUGCCUGGUAGCUUGCUCAGUGAGACCUUCACAUGUAACCUCUGCUCCUGGGUGUGUGUUAUUGUUAGUGAGUGGUGAAAAAGCUCAGUAGUGUGGAGGGAAGUUAAUGGUGCUUCAGGAAGAAUUCCCUCAGAUCAGAGUCAUAUAAGGUGCUCAGUUAGACUGACUUGGUGAGUCAUCCAAACUCAGAAAAAGGACUUCCAGUCAAAUGAGUCUACAGCAACCAUUAAAUACCCAUUUAACAAAAUUUCAUAACAUAUGCUGGUGAUAUUAAACCUGAUUCUGAACAAGCCUGACAUUAAUGCCAUUUUAUUCUCCCAACAUUCUUACAAACUGCCUCCAAAUUCACACACUGGGGGAAACUUACGCAACCAAUUACCUUCCAACCAGUACAUACAUCUUUAGGACAUGGGAGGAAACCAGAGUAUCAAGGGGAAACCUAUGGUAAGGAGGGUGUGCAAACUCCACACAGGCAGUGCCCAAUGUCAGCAUUGAACCUGGGUGUUCGGAGUUGUGAGGCAGCAGCUCUAUGAACUGGGCCACUGUACCAUCCUAUCACCAAUCUUACAUGAAGUCUUAAAUGAAGUCCUGAAUAAACCAAUCUUAAACGAAGAUAGCUGAGCCUCUGGCUAGGAUCUUUAUGUCCUCGUUGUCCAUGGGAAUGGUAUCGGAGGAUUGGAGGGAGGCAAAUGUCGUCCCCUUGUUCAAAAAAAGGUAGUAGGGAUAGUCCGGGUAAUUAUAGACCAGUGAGCCUUACGUCUGUGGUGGGAAAACUGUUGGAAAAGAUUCUUAGAGAUAGGAUCUAUGGGCAUUUAGAGAAUCAAGGUCUGAUCAGGGACAGUCAGCAUGGCUUUGUGAAGGGCAGAUCGUAUCUAACAAGCCUGAUAGAGUUCUUUGAGGAGGUGACCAGGCAUAUAGAUGAGGGUAGCGCAGUGGAUGUGAUCUAUAUGGAUUUUAGUAAGGCAUUUGACAAGGUUCCACACGGUAGGCUUAUUCAGAAAGUCAGAAGGCAUGGGAUCCAAGGAAGUUUGGCCAGAUGGAUUCAGAAUUGGCUUGCCUGCAGCAGGCAGAGGGUCAUGGUGGAGGGAGUACAUUCAGAUUGGAGGAUUGUGACUAGUGGUGUCCCACAAGGAUCUGUUCUGGGACCUCUACUUUUCGUGAUUUUUAUUAACGACCUGGAUGUGUGGGUUGGCAAGUUUGCAGACGACACAAAGGUUGGUGGUGUUGUAGAUAGUGUAGAGGAUUGUCGAAGAUUGCAGAGAGACUUUGAUAGGAUGCAGAAGUGGGCUGAGAAGUGGCAGAUGGAGUUCAACCUGGAGCAGUAUGAGGUGGUACACUUUGGAAGGACAAACUCCAAGGCAGAGUACAAAGUAAAUGGCAGGAUACUUGGUAGUGUGGAGGAACAGAGGGAUCAGGGGGUACGUGUCCACAGAUCCCUGAAAGUUGCCUCACGGGUGGAUAAGGUAGUUAAGAAAGCUUGUGGGGUGUUAGCUUUCAUAAGUCGAGGGAUAGAGUUUAAGAGUCGCGAUGUAAUGAUGCAGCUCUAUAAAACUCUGGUUAGGCCACACUUGGAGUACUGUGUCCAGUUCUGGUCGCCUCACUAUAGGAAGGAUGUGGAAGCAUUGGAAAGGGUACAGAGGAGAUUUACCAGGAUGCUGCCUGGUUUAGAGAGUAUGCAUUAUGAUCAGAGAUUAAGGGAGCUAGGGCUUUACUCUUUGGAGAGAAGGAGGAUGAGAGGAGAUGUGAUAGAGGUGUGCAAGAUAAUAAGAGGAAUAGACAGAGUGGAUCGCCAGCGCCUCUCCCCCAGGGCACCACUGCUCAAUACAAGAGGACAUGGCUUUAAGGUAAGGGGUGGGAAGUUCAAGGGGGAUAUUAGAGGAAGGUUUUUUACUCAGAGAGUGGUUGGUGCGUGGAAUACACUGCCUGAGUCAGUGGUGGAGACAGAUACACUAGUGAAAUUUAAGAGACUACUAGACAGGUAUAUGGAUGAAUUUAAGGUGGGGGAUUAUAUAGGAGGCAGUGUUUGAGGGUUGGCACAACAUUGUGGGCCAAAGGGCCUGCACUGUACUGUACUAUUCUAUGUUCUAUGUUAAGUCAUAGAGUUAACUGCACAGAAACAGGCCCUUCAGCCCAACUGGACCAUGCUAAUCAAGGUUCCCAUCUAAGCCAGUGCCAUCGGCCCACAUUUAGAGCAAUUCACUCUAAACCUUUCCUAUCCAUUUACCUGCCCAAAUACCUUUCAAAUAUUGUUAUUGUACCUGCCCCAAUCACUUCCUCUGGCAGUCAUUUCUGGCUUUACUUAUCUAUAAAGUACCUUGGGAGCAGUGAGACAGUAAAAGGUUCCAUAUAAAUGUAGGUGUCUACAUUUGAUAUUGAGAAUCAGAGGAAAGAAUAAACGAUGGGAAUAAUGUCUCUUAUGGAUUCAGGCCAGGCUCCCAUAACUAGAAUGCUUUCUUUAUAAGCAUGCAGACCUUACAACUGAACAACUGAAGAGUUAGAUGAGAUUGGAGUCAAGUCAGAGAGUGAAGGACAGCAAAUCAAGGUUUGUUAGAAUAGGCUAUGGUUGUGCUCACAUUUGGAUCUCCACUCCCCACAGCUUCCUCUGCCUCUCUCAGGAGAUCGUGUGUUUACAGCUGGGUCAGAGCACACAUCACUGUCUCAUGUUUUGGUUGGUAUUUUUGAAUGUUGUUUUCUCCCAUUCACAGAUCCAAAUAAGCGUUUGAGGAUUUGGAAUGUGAGGUCUCCUAGUUUUCAUAGGUGCACACUUUCCUAGAGGAACUGCUAAUUGAAUUAGUCAGUGAGGGGGACAAUGGUUGACUCCCUCUUUCCAUAGUUGAGUAAAAGAGGAGAGGAAGAGAGGCGAGAAGGAAAGGUUGAAUAGACUGAGCCUGUAUUCUUUAGGUUGCAGAAAAUCAAGAGGUGAUCUCAUUGAAUCUUCCCUUUCCUUCUUACCUCAUCUCAUCUCACCUUUUGCACAUUUUUUGUUUGUCAGUCUUUGUCUGGUUAUAUACAGUUUUAAAAUAUAAAUUCUAUUGUAUUUCAUUUCUUUCCCGGAAAUAUCUGCAAGAAAAUGUUAGUAUAUGGUAAUACAUACAAAGUUAGGUAAUAAAUUUACUUUGAACUUUGAACUUUGAAACAUACAAACCUCUUGGCCAAGUUUAAAUCAACACCAGAUAGACAGCCUUACGCUAUAUCCAGUCAAUGACAUAUGUCUCUGAAGAACAGCCUUGAAUAAAUGUGGGCUUUGUAGAGAAUCACACCUUGUUCACCUGCCAAAGAUAGUGACAGACUGGUAGAGAUGGUACAGUUUUGACAUUUGAACUUGUACAUGGAUAGGAGACUUUUAGAGAGAUAUAGGCCAAAUGUACAUAAGUGUAUCUAGCUCAGUUCAGCAGCUAGGGCAUCAUGGAUGAGUUGGACCAAAGGGGAUGUUUCCUUGUUGCUUAACUCUAUGGAAGGCUAUGUCUAGUAUAACAAGGAAAAAAAACCACAGCAUAAAAAAUGGGAGCAGGAGAAGGCCAACUCACCAUUCAAGCUUUCCAUUCAUCAAGACCAUUCUCUAGUACCAUUGGGGAGUGUAUUUAAGUUAGAUAUUGAUAGAUUCUUGAUGGUCAUGGGGGUUAAGGGUUAUGGGUAGAAGGCAGGAGAAUGAGUUUUAAAAAUCAAAGAUUCAAAGACUGAAAGUAAAAUGUAUUAUCGAAGUAUGUAAGCAGUAUACAACCGAGAUUCAUCUUCCCACAGACAGCCAAAGAAACUCCGUGGAACCCAAGAAAAACAUCAAGCACCCAAACACACACAAAAAAAGAACAACUGGCAAAAAAAAUAAGAAAAAAGUCAGCAAUGGUUAAAUGGUGGAGCUAACCUGAUGGGUUGAACAGCCUAAUUCUGCUCCUAUAUUUAUGACAUAUGGACUAUUCCCAUUAAUAUCUCUGCUCUAAAGCCUCAGUGCUUGAGACCUCACAGCCUCUUGGCAGAGAAUUCGAAAGGCUUACCACCAUCCCAAGGAAGAAUCCUCCCCAUUUUGAGUUGUCAGCUGGGGAAAACACCCUUCCGGUAUCCAGUCUAUCCAGGAGUACAAUGACUUUGUUUCCAGCAUCUGCAGAUUUUCUCUUGUUCGUGAUUGGAUUGCACACAACAUGGUUCACAAACAGUAAUCAGGGUUUUGAUUUCCAGUUCCUCAGGAGGAGUCGACUAUAUGAGAGGUGUGGAGAAGCAACACGAAAUAUUUGGACCACUCAGUACAUUGGAGGGAAUCGGCUGGCUAUCUGCUUAGAAAGCUCUAGGGCAGUAAGUGGAUACCCAU